GCGUUUAGCGGCGGACGGGUGAGUAACACGUGGGCAACCUGCCCUGCAGAUCGGGAUAACUCCGGGAAACCGGUGCUAAUACCGAAUAGUUUGUCCUCCCUCCUGGGAGGAUACGGAAAGACGGUUUCGGCUGUCACUGCAGGAUGGGCCCGCGGCGCAUUAGCUAGUUGGUGGGGUAACGGCCCACCAAGGCCACGAUGCGUAGCCGACCUGAGAGGGUGAUCGGCCACACUGGGACUGAGACACGGCCCAGACUCCUACGGGAGGCAGCAGUAGGGAAUCUUCCGCAAUGGACGCAAGUCUGACGGAGCAACGCCGCGUGAGUGAUGAAGGUUUUCGGAUCGUAAAACUCUGUUGCGAGGGAAGAAACCGUGCCAGCUAACUACUGGCACCUUGACGGUACCUCGCCAGAAAGCCACGGCUAACUACGUGCCAGCAGCCGCGGUAAUACGUAGGUGGCAAGCGUUGU
rnacentral:rRNA from 1 species